AAGACAGAGGCACACUUCGAACGUGUAUUUGAAUGUGGUAAAUGAUAAGAAGUUAAACUAUGUACAAAAUAUGAUGACUUCGAUCUGUAAAUGCGUUUUUCGUUGCAUUUUAUUUCGAAAUGCCCAGGACAUAGACACGACAUUCAACGUAGCAGGAAGUCAAUACACUUUGCCGGCAAAACAAAGUAGAAAAACAUCCUUCAAGGACACAAGAUGUGUGUAAAUAUGCGAGUAAAUGAUUUACAUCUGUGCGUUCAUGCGAGUUUAUGGUGAUCCUUGUCAUCAAGGCAUCUGUACGGUGUGCAGGUCUAGCCUACAAUCUGCUGAGAGGACACAUUCGCCCAAGAAAAGUACACAGGUUAUUUAAAAACAAAGGGAAAUUGGAGCAGAGAGGAAAGAGGAAAUUCGGAGAGUCAGUGAGAGCUUCUGACACUUCUCAGUGAAGGCAGAGAGUGUAUGCAAGUCGCGUAUCUUUCCAGUGCAAAACUACGGUUCAAUAUGAUCAGUGACGUAGGAUUUUCAGCUGUUGGAUGUUCUGUGAUGAAUAACUUAUUUGUGUGGAAACGAAUGUGAAAGAACUGUGCAGGGGAACAACAGCAAGGGAGGGGCAGCUGCUUUUUACCCAAGUACCCAGUACAAUUGUGAGAACUGCUUUUGCGUUUCGAUGCUUCUGUUUUAUCUUCUGACUGAUCUUUCUGACUGCUUUCCUGAAUAUAAGAUCUCCUGCUUCUACAUUUUUGUAAAGCGCUUUGAAUUGCUUUGUGUUGAAAGGUGCUAUAUACAUAACCUUUACUUGCUUUCUAAAGCUUUACAUUGUGAUUGUCAUGUCAAUGUAAAAGUAGUAGUUGAAAGCUAUAUAUUCCUCAGUGCAUGCCAUAUUGACUACGAUGACCUGUUCUCGUGUUGGGUAAAGUUAGAAAUACUGCAAUUGUUUUUUAUGUUGGAUGUUAUUUGCAAAGAAAUUUGGAUCACUUGUAUUUGUUUUUGUAGGAAGGCGACAUGGUCCCUUUAUUGUUAUCUGGUAAUUGUGGAGAAAAGUAUUUAAUAGUCGAUAUUUUAUGUGUCAUUGUUUACAUUUUUGCACAAAAUAAUGUAUUUUAUUGGCUGCUCUGUUUUUGAUUUCCGAGCCCAACAGUUAAAACUGGUUCAUUAUGUUUAUAUGCACGAGGGGAAAGACAUUGAUUACAUCUUUAUCAGGUUUGGUAAAUUAUAUUACCCAUGUGUCAUUGUUAUGUGUACAGAGCAAGUCAACAUGUGCAGACUUGAUGAACCAUUUGCUCUGCGUCAUAUAAAGUGGCUGGUUGGCGCCCUCUCCCUUUACUUCACGAGAUUACAGGUAACGGUUACCAGGAAAUGUGGAGCACACUGAGGAGGACUACAAAUUCAGGCGUUAUUCAGCCCGGCUUUCUACUUCGGACUCACGGUCUUAUUAUAUUUAACAACCGUGGGAUAUAUUUUAGUGCGAAAUUACGUCAUCACGUGUUUAUUUUUACAUGAAAACUUUUGCAUCCUUUGGAGGCAGCGUUGGGAGUGCUGAGAAACGCGGUAAAAUACGAGAAUAGGAGCAAGUCAACAUGUGCAGACUUGAUGAACCAUUUGCUUUGGAUAAGUCAAGACAUCAGUGCAACUGGAAUCAAAACAAACCGGGAUUUGGAUGGAUUUGUGAUUACUGGAAAUGCAACUGGGAUCAUCUCAAAUGGUUUCCUGUUGUCCAGCUGUGUUCAUUCAUGCUGUGCGGCCAGUAUGCUGUCUUUUGAAGAGAAAGAUUGAAAAUGUUGUGGAAAUUGUUGUGUGAGCAAUACUGUUUUUUACACAGACAUUGAAAGACUUGUAAAAAAAAAAACUCACCAAGGUGUUGACUGAACAGGAGUGUGUUAAGGCCAAGAGUGCAUUUUCUCCUUUAUUCACCAUCGGAGACAGCUUAAUUGACAACUCGGCAUGUUUUCAACAUCUUUACGAAAAGCCUGUUACCGGGAUGUUUUAACCUUAAGUAGACCUUGCAUAAUUGCUCUGUGUAACCAACAGAACCUACAGCAAUUUAGCUUGCUUUUAAUAUUUCUCCUGAUGUUAGAGGCGGCCAAUGCUUUGAAUCAGUACAGUAAACUGAGUCAUCAAAACUCGGUUUGAGUAACAAGUUAUUGAUUUGUCUACCUUGUUUCAUACAGGUCUGUUGUUCCAAAUAUUUGACUCCAUUACAGGAGUCAAAUAUUUUUCUUGGUACUGCCUUCGGUAAGGCAAACAGAUGACAUUUCCCCUCACAUUUCAGGGCACAGUACUUCCUUGACAUUUCAGCCUUCCAACAGUAACUGGUCGGUUGGCAGAGGGUGGGCCUAUUGGUCUAUAGCCAUGGGCGUGCCAAUGUGCCGAGCUCCAGAUUUAGUGAUGUCAUUAGCCCCCGGAAGAAAAAAAUGGAAAAAGAAAAAUCUAUAACGAGGCAUUCGAGGGCAGCAUAGACGCAUCGUUUCUGCUUUUGAGUUUUACUCACUACAGGGUGAACUUUGAGGGUUUGUGACUUUGCAGACCGUUCACAUGCAGAAAAAGCUAGAUAACGCACGAAAGGACGGGAUAUAACCGGAAAAGCAUAAUAGGUGACCUCUAAGUAAGACUGAGUAUUAUAAAUGAUUUUACAGUUUUAAUGCAUUUUCUUUUUCCCAUGCAGAAAUUGCAGGGUCGAUCUAUGGCAUGGUUGGUUAACAACAUAGCAGUUAAAAAGCAGAGACGCUUGUGUGGACUGCUUCUGCUGACGGGCAGACAGUUCUGUGCGGUUCAUUGUUACAUUUUUAUUUUGAUGUGACACGCAAUGUACCAUGCUAUCGUAAUAAUGUUCUUUAUCAGCCUUUGAACCUGAAACUUUUUAAAAUCAUUAUAUAUCAGAUUACUCUACCGCAUGAAUUGACGGCUAUUGGUCGACUAGAAACAUCUUUAGUCGAGAGCAGCCGCAUUAAGUUGCAUGUAGUGGCUACCAGUAUUUAAGAAUUUGGUACACAUUUAGUAAGUCACUAACUCAGAAGUCGGCCAUUUUAAUAUUAUGUGCACAAACUUCACAUUUUGUGUGGAAUGCCCAAUGUUAAAUGUGACUUUGGGAUAGUUUCAUCAUGUCUGAAGUGUAUCCACAGUUGAAAUAUGCCAACAUAAAGCUUGACACAAAUGUUUGAUGAGUGAGCAUGAUAACCCAAAGUAGCAUGUUACAGCAACAACUAGUGCUCUGCCAUCUGAGAUGAGAGGGGGUGCACCAGUAGGCUAGCUACAGUGGCCGGCAACAGCAAUGAAAAGUAGCAUUGCUGUUAUGGUGCCCGAUGAAGAGACUAUGGCAUGUUAUGUUUCAAAACCAAGUAAGCAAGAACAUUUCAAGUGUGUUUAAAGUGCUAUCCUGAAAUAUUUCAUCCAGUCCAAAGUGGCACACAACUUCAAGCUUCAGCUUAAACUGUACUGAUAAAACAAAUGAGAACAUAUUGUAAAUCAAGUAGGGAUGCACCGAUGCCAAAUUUCCUGGUCGAUUGUUAAGAAUAACAAUUUGGCUGAUGCCGAUGUUUUAAUGUACAUUUCUUUUCCACUCUCUGCCAGGAAAAACAAGAGUGUCUGAAAAUGGUUUCAGUUUAAAGGGUUGAGCAAGUUCGUUAUUAUAACAUCUCCGAAUGCACCAUCGGUAAAUAAGGUGACAUCACCGAUGGCAGUCGCCAAUGUUUGUUUUGCUACGUGACCGGGAGAAGUUGUGUUAGCGUUGUUGUUUUUAAAUCUGACGGACCAAAUCUGAAGUCAGGGCAUCAUUUUGAAGGAUUAGAACAGUGACUGUGGGUCUGCCGUAACUUCAAAGUCAUUCUCUGCGCAUGCUGCAGGUCUUCCGCCCCGUGUAGCGGGUGUCUGCAGGAUCAGUAAAUUAAAUCCAUUCUUCAGUGUUCUUGUGACGCUGUCGUUUAUAUUUGUGACUUUGUUAUACUUGCUGCUACUCCCGUUAACUUCCAGAAACUUACUAUGGCUCGCUCAACCUCUCUCUCGGUCUUACACAUGCACACACGUAUCCCCCAUUCUCUCUUUUAAAUAGAUAGGCUGCCUGAGUCUGCAUGAUGCUACUAUUACAGUUUACAGAAGUAAAACAUCGGCCAUCGGUAUCGGCAAAAAUUGUUAUACUUAACAUCGGCAUCGGCCAACAUUUUUUCAAUCGGUGCAUCCUUAGUAAUAUCAUAGUAGGCUGUUUAGAAAGUACGCGGCUUCCCCUGAUCACCUGCAGCUCUGCCCGCUGUGAGGGGACCGGUGAGUGGAGCAAAACAUACGUUUAGAGUAAGACUUGAGCAUGAUGGGCUGUCAGUAGAGGGAGAGAGGAAAAGAUAGCGCUCCGUUUAUUAAGUAAAGUAAAUCGCGGAUCUCUUGGUGAAAUAGUCCCACACUGAGUCAAUAGCAACAGCAAAAAAAAGCAGUUUGACAUUGGCAGAGAAGAUUGGGCACAAUUUUCAUGGGUGCAACCCAAAUACUCAGCUUUGAGUCUGAUAAUGGCCGCUUCAGACAUGGUGCAACCAUUAGCAAGUAACCAACAAAGGUAACAACCGCCAACCUUAUCACCCAAAUCUCCUAGAGCACCAUUGUGUUUAAAAAAACAAACAACCAAACAUCAGAAAGUGGGACAUGGAGUUUGGUAGUUAAUUUGCAUUUAAAGAUAGACACAUAAUCAGCACUUUGAUUGACACUGUGUUGUAACCUCCCCUUUUGGAAACUGCCUGGAUUUGGUUUGUCCCUGCAACAUGCUCUUGUUGACUUAGCUUGAAUGUUCCCAGUCCGAAGGUGCCUCAGCUCUGGCUUCAGAGCAUUCAGUAAUGCCCACCAGUAUGUUUGGCUGUCAUAGUAACGGUAAUAUUGGUCCAGAAAGGGAUGGGCUCAGAUCAGUCUAAAAUAAAGAAAUGCAAACGUAAGGAUUCACAAAUGUAAUUGUGUAAAAAUGUUUUGGGCGUGUGAAUCCCUCUGCAUUUGUGUGUGUGAAUCUUUUGCAUUUGUUUGUAGAUUUUUGAGACACCCCUGAAGAUUCACAAAUGCAUUUUUUUAAAGAGGGGAGUGUCUGAAGCCAUUCAGGUGUCUGCUUAAUUUUAAGCUAAUCACAUGAUUGAGUCCCCACAAGCCAUUGAACCACGCCCACUUCCGCCUUAGCGUUACUCUGCCGACUGCAUCAUGGACAUAUGGUGAACCAUGUUAACAACCAAAACCAAUGUGAGAUUUAUUUAUAUCAGCCCAGUGAUUGACUAGUGUGGUGUAUUAAAUCUGGGCUGAUAUACAAAGGUAGAUACUCUCUGAGGACAAAGGUUGGGUAAGAGGAAUAUGGGGAAAAAACAAACAUCUGACAUAUGUCAGGGGGCCCCUAUGAAUGGACCUAUGUUCCCUUAGGGUGGCACACAUUGUUAAUGAUUACCUCAGGUGAGCAUGUACACACAUUUUCUUCUAUAAAUGGCAUGCACAAAGAGAGUUCGGGGGGACUUCCACAAUUGGCUCUGGGAACCCCGCAUCGCGUUGGUGUAUGAUACUAUGCUGUUGUAAUAAACCUCAUUAUAUACAAGCUGGUGUCUCCUGAGACUUCUUCAUCAUCUUCACAAACAUCGCUACAAGAUAUACUUCACUAGCUACCUGUCAAAUGCAAGGCCUCAGAAGUGAGUGAAGACAUCACUUCUCUACACGCAAUGUGCUCUAGAUGUCCCUACAGCCGAGGAGGGGAAUGUUCUAAGAACCAACAGUGUAGUUUCGUUGGCACUAUCCAGUCACCUCUUGACAUUAAAGGAACACCUUCAUCUGUGGUUCCCGCUAAAAAUGGAAUAAAAAACAACAUGGGAACCAUUCGAUAUCCUGGAGAGCUUAAAGUAGCACACGGCCCAACUCAGUUGCAUCAAGGCUACGCACAGUCCCAACAACAUUUGGAGGGACUCCACUACCCUCGAAAGUCACAGUCGAGCAUACUUGACACUGGAUUCCAGCACCCUAUACCUGGGGAUAGUGCAGGUUAUUCCCGGGGCAGUCACAACCACAUAAGCCGAGACGGAAAUGCCAGCAUCUAUUCAUCAACGCAUGUCUCUUCUCAACACAUCAGUUAUUUGGGGAAUUCUGCUGAAUCUGUCAGGCGACCCGUUUAUAACUCAUCCCAUCAGCAGCAAGUCUGGUCUCGCUCUCUCAGCAGAGAAAAAGUCUUGCCAGUUGGAGAAUCGAAACCCCCUUCAGAUGAGGAAAUACAUGACUUUGUUGCAAAACGCGUCAAUUUUUUUUGGACUAUAACAAAAUAUGUAUAUUCUAAAAAGCUGUACAACAGGGACUAUCCACUGCGGUCAGACUCCAUCUCACCAAAGGUUGACUCUUUUUACCAUCCCCACGAAACCUCUGCCUCUGCCAAUGAAGACAUGGGAAGGCAAAGUCUCUGCGUUGCUGUAAGUGAAGAGUUCACUGCUGCAGUUGGACCAGCACUUGAAGAGGAGGGUUCAAGGGGCAACAACGCAUUUGCUGUGUUACCGCCCAAGUGUAAAGGAACCGAUGAUUGCUCUGCAUCUGCGUCAGAGAAACAUUCAAAAGAACAUCCACGUGAACGGAAGAUACUUCCCGCGACUUGCUCAAAGGAUGAAGAUGGGAGCCCAGUGGUAGCCGCAGCAGUGCCUGGAAUGACCUUCGAAGAAAUGACAGAGAAGCAAUCCAAUUCAAUGUUCAACAGUAGCCUGUCAGAAGAACACAAGUCCCCCUGGUUAAUCAUUAAAACACAUUUUGAUGACAAAGGCCAAGUGCCUGGUGUUUCUAGGGCUCCCAAACACACCAUGGAGAAGGAGACCAGCAAAGUGGCCCUAAUACCUGUGGGGCUAAUAGGGUUGGACAAACUGCAAGACAUGACCGACCUCUCGGUGGUAUCUGAAAACCAAACUUUUGGACAAGAAUCACUCGUGAAUGUACAUUCAAAGAAAAACAUUGACAAGCUAUGUUCACCUGUUGAUGCACUUCGUAUUGAUCAUGUGUGGUCAAUUCAGACAAACCAAACCAAAUGCAUAGCAAUUCCCAAAAAUGAAGUUGAGAAUCACAUCCCUCUAUCAGAAAGUGCGGGUCAGAGACCACUCUUUGUUAACAUGCCUCAAUACGAAGAUAUCUCAGAUGAUGACUCCCAGCUACCAAACACAGAGCACAAGGAAUUCAACUUUCCAACGGCUUCUGAAGACAUUAGGGAAGAGGACAGUCCCCAUAUUGAUUAUAUGACUGCAGAGACCUCUUCAACUACACCAGAUCCCAACAUUAAGCUGUCACCAUUUGAACAUAAAGGUGCUGGUUAUGUACCUAAAUUCGAGACUGAGAUACAAACAUACCACUCUAUUUUAUGCAGUCCUUCUCCUUCUUUGAAAGAAGACGUUACAGAUACGUUUGAUGAGGACGAGGAUGAUGAUGAUAUGUUAUUCAUACCUAUAACCAUUUCCGACCUUGAGUUUGAACCUCAAGAACAAGAUGGGCUAUAUGGUGGAGAAACAGAGGACCAAGAAAGACAGUGUGAUGCAUAUCUAAACCACAAUCCAUCUCCAAAACCAGUACAAGCUUCUGAUUAUACACCAAUGAAGGAGUUUGACACAAUUGAAAGCUUUUUCAAAGCUGUAAAUUUUAAGCAAAUACAGGUGGCAUUGAUUGGCAAAGCUGAACAUAAAAUGGACUCUGAGGGAGAAGGUCAUACACUUAACAGCAGAGGGUCUUCAGACAGCUGUGAAACUGAUGACAGUUGUAAUUACUCUAAACCAGAAAACAAAUAUUUAGCAGUACCCAGGACGUUGUUGGAAAGGAAGGUAGCUCCUGAGCCCUCGGAAACAGACGCUUCUGUGCCUGAGGGCAAAGCCAAUGAGGUUACAAAUGUCCAACAAGGUCAAACCAGGAGUUUGGCGGGGUCUGGCUGUACACUGAUAUGUACAUCAACGACUGGCGAGAAAGAUUGUUCUAAAAAUGUUCAACCCUCAACCAAUGGGCAGAAUAUUUUAAACGAUGUUAUAAUCAUUGAAUCUGACUCUGAAGACGAAUGUAAACAAAACUACCAGCAGCCAAAAAGGAAGCGGUUUUUCUCUUCCAGCUCAGAGGACAGCAACUAUUCCUCAUGUGAAACUGUAGAAGAAAAGACAUCCGCAGACCGAGACAGAGAAAUUAAUGGGCAGCUGCGUGGCUCCACCAACAGUUUAGUUGUCAUCGACUCUGACAUAGACGAUGAUGAUGACCUAAACUACAAAGAUCAAAGCAGAAAGAGAUUGUCUGUUGAACAGAAAAAACCCGUUUUUAUAACUGUGGAGAGUGAUUGUGGACCUGCUGAUGAAAUUCCUCAAGAAACCAGACAGUCUUCUGCAGACCUAUCACAGUCACAAAACCAGUCAAUGCUUCCUGAUACACCACAGAAGACAAACGGACAUGAUUCAAAUUCUGGAGAGGUUAAUAAUAAAAGACGCAAAAAGGUCAAAUCAAGAAGCAUACUCGAAUCCGAUGACAUUGAUGAUGAAACUGUGGGCAGUCUUUGUGGAAUUGCUUACGAAAAGUCUAAAAACAGUCAGUUUUCUAAGGAUCAAAGAAAGAAGCAGUCCCAUUCUUUGAACAAGAAGGCCGACUCAACUUCAAAAUCUGUGAUUCCUCGCCUUGUUGUUGAGAAGCCUAAUCAACACUAUAGACUUUUAGAAGAAUGUCCCAAAGACAGACGGGGUAAGAAUGGCACUCCAAAGCAUUCCACAGCAUCCAGCAAAAAGACUGACUCCGUUGAUAAAAAUAAAUUGCAUUUGCCCAAACCAAAACGUGCAAAAGGUGGAGAACAUACAACAAAGAAUAACGUGCAGGCUAAUGUACCAAAACCCACAACAAUUUCAAGACAGCUUUCCUUACCUGAGCAGAAAUGCACAUCCACCUCUUUAAGUGGAAGUGGAAAACUUUCUGAAGCCAGACAAAGCUCAGCCAUUUCAAGAAAUGGGUCUCUGUCCGGAGGAACACCUGCUUGUUCUCAACAGCCCGCAUUCAAACCGAGCAUAUCGACUCCCAGAGAUAUGUCUUCGUUAAAACUACAGCGCUCUCUCUCUUGGAACAACAGCUCUACAAUAAAUCAUCCUAUCAAUCCCACAAAAGGGCCUUCAGUAACUUCUGCAACCAUUGCACCAUCAGCAAGGAAACGGUUGACACAAGAAAUGGCUGAAUUUAUCCCAAUCCCAAGACAGAAGAAGAAACCAGAACCCAAAGUGAAAAAAUCUCUCCCGGGGAUGGAGGAUGACUUGACAACCGGGACAUUGCCCAUUCACCAUAACAGGGCACCCAAACGGAGGCAGAACUCCAAGUCUGCAACCCCACUAAUGAAAAGGACCAAGUUGGAUGCCGUACAGUUGACAAAGGCUAGGAUCCGGGAUUCCCCAAAGGAACAAGGCAACUAUGGGGGUGAAGGUUACAAGUGGUCAGAGAAGCCACCGGUGACACCAACAAUACAAGGUUUUGGCAGGAAGACAAAGCUGUGAUUCCAAGGAUCAAUCAGUGAGAAAGAUUUGACAGUGUCUACAAAUCCAUAUCAAGUUUCUCUCACUUCCUAAGGAACAGAUGGCCGACUGGACACAAUCUAUUCAUUUUCACAUUAUAUUCCAUAUUUUAAGCCGUAUAUUUUUUAUUCAGUGUGAGAACUGUAAAUAUAUUUUUGUUUGCAUGUUAGAUGUUAUCGUUACUGGCUAACUUAAGUUGCAUGUGAAUUCAGCAUUGUUUGUACAUUUUGUUUCUCAAAAUGCUGUCUGAAAUUGAAACUCUAUACAGAUAUUUGUAUAUAUUGUACAUUUUUGUUAACACUAUUCCUGUUGUCAAUGUUCCAUCUUCUUUUUUUACUUUACUGUAUAAAAUGUUUAAAAGUCUUAAAAAUCAUGUCUCUUCAGUGUUUUGCUGGAGAUGCCAAACCAUCACCCAGUGUAGGAUUUCUUAUACCCCUUUAUUUCGGCCCCGUUACAAAAGUCCUGCUUGUUGUUGCUCUGUCGUCUGUGCCUUCAAAUGCAAAUGAGCUGCUGCUGGCCACGCCCCUUUUCAGGGUCUGCAGGAAAGCGGGGAGCUCUGCGAAGAGAAGGGUGUCUACCGGCAGAUACUCAGUUAAACGCUGCCGUGAUUACAAGCCACAUCAAGCAUUAAAAAAGUACUUCUUAUUUUAACAUAGCUUCUCCCAAUGCUGGUCUUCAUCAUAUAAACCAAUGGGCACCGAGGCAGUUUGUUCAGUAUAUAAAACAAUGUGAGAACUGUAAAUAUAUUUUUGUUUGCAUGUUAGAUGUUAUCGUUACUGGCUAACUUAAGUUGCAUGUGAAUUCAGCAUUGUUUGUACAUUUUGUUUCUCAAAAUGCUGUCUGAAAUUGAAACUUGAUACAGAUAUUUGUAUAUAUUGUACAUUUUUGUUAACACUAUUCCUGUGGUCAAUGUUCCAUCUUCUUUUUUUACUUUACUGUAUAAAAUGUUUAAAAGUCUUAAAAAUCAUGUCCCUUCAGUGUUUUGCUGGAGAUGCCAAACCAUCACCCAGUCUAUUUCAGCCCCGUUACAAAAGUCCUGCUUGUUGUUGCUCUGUCGUCUGUGCCUUCAAAUGAAAAUGAGCUGCUGCUGGCCGCGCCCCUUUUCAGCGUCUGCAGGAAAGCGGGGAGCUCUGCGAAGAGAAGGGUGUCUACCGGCAGAUACUCAGUUAAACGCUGCCGUGAUUACAAGCCACAUCAAGCGUUAAAAAAGUACUUCUUAUUUUAACAUAGCUUCUCCCAAUGCUGGUCUUCAUCAUAUAAACCAAUGGGCAGUUUGUUCAGUACAUAAAACAAUGUCUCCCUCUAGUGUCGAAAUUGAAGUGGUACGAGACGAGCGCAUAAACAUGUUUAUUUAAAAAAGUCCCCCUAUUCAUUAAAUGACACUUUUUGAGUCUCUUAACACACAGGGGAUACAUAUAUGUAUUAAAGACAUUAAAAAAUGCCUUUUGCAUAAUAGGGGACCUUUUUUAAAUGAACAUGUGUUGGUCUCGUACCACUUCAAUUUCGACACUAGAGGGAGACAUUGUUUUAUAUACUGAAUAAACUGCACCAGUGCCCAUUGGUUUAUAUGACGAGGACCAGCAUUGGGAGAAGCUAUGUUAAAUUAUAAAGACAUCGUGACCAUAUACAGUCUAUGAUGGUGACUUGUUGAUUUAUCAGCUUUUGUCCACGAAUGUUAAGAUAUUAAGGCAUGAAUUGAGGAGACUAAAGGGUUAAUUAAUAAGUACCAUAUCACGAUCCUAAUAUAUACAUGACUCCUAAAUUCUACCUUAAAUUCAAAGUAAAGGUAGGUAUGAAAUAAUGGAUAACUUUCAAGGUUUUAUUGGUCAUAUGCACAGCAUAUACAACGUAUAUGUUGGCAAUGAAAAUGUUAUGUCCCAUGCUCCUCUAACAACUCAACAUACAUGGUGCAAAUAAGAUAAAUAAAAUAGUGCAAAAAGAGAGAAGAAUAUUUAGAAUAACAACAAUAAAGAUUUGAGGAUGUGAAAUAUAUACAUAUGUGGAAUACAUUGAGAGUAUUUAAAUACUUUACACUGUUGAAUGAGGAGGUAUGGGCAGAUGCAUAUAUUACGUAUAACAGAUGUAUAUGGCAGAUAUGUAUAAUAUAUAGAUAUGUGUACUAUAAACAGAUAUGUAUGGCAGAUGUGUAUUGUAUGUAUGUAUGUAUGUAUGUAUGUAUGUAUGUAUGUAUGUAUGUAUGUAUGUAUGUAUGUAUGUAUGUAUGUAUGUAUGUAUGUAUGUAUGUAUGUAUGUACUAUAAACAGAUGUGAGUAGACAUUCACAGAGCUCAGGAGUUCAGCAGUCUUAUAGCCUGUGGUAUAAAACUGUCUCUGAG